rnacentral:lncRNA from 1 species
UAAGCCGGCUCAUCAUGAUAUAAGAUGUUGGCGUCACCUAUUGCUCCAUAUUUAUACAGCAUAUAUAUAUAUAUUUUUUUUCUUCUAAGAAUAUAGAUUAUUUGUUUUUUUUUGUCAAGGUGCAUUAUAUAUGUUUAAUUGUCAAGGUGCAUUAUAUAUGUUUAAUUGUCAAGGUGCAUUAUAUAUGUUUAAUUUUGGUGGCUGUAAAUUUAUUCUAGUUUGUAAAUUCUUUUGCUUGAGAAGAUGACGAGCAUUUAAGGAAGCAUU